rnacentral:rRNA from 1 species
UACAGAGGGUGCGAGCGUUAAUCGGAAUUACUGGGCGUAAAGCGCGCGUAGGUGGUUAUUUAAGUUAGACGUGAAAUCCCUGAGCUUAACUUAGGAAUGGCGUUUAAAACUGGAUGACUGGAGUGGAGUAGAGGUGAGUGGAAUUUCCGGAGUAGCGGUGAAAUGCGUAGAUACCGGAAGGAACACCAGUGGCGAAGGCGACUCACUGGACUCUAACUGACACUGAGGCGCGAAAGCGUGGGGAGCAAACAGG